GACGAACGCUGGCGGCGUGCCUAAUACAUGCAAGUCGAGCGCAGGAAAUCGACGGAACCCUUCGGGGGGAAGUCGACGGAGUGAGCGGCGGACGGGUGAGUAACACGUAAAGAACCUGCCCUCAGGUCUGGGAUAACCACGAGAAAUCGGGGCUAAUACCGGAUGGGUCAUCGGACCGCAUGGUCCGAGGAUGAAAGGCGCUUCGGCGUCGCCUGGGGAUGGCUUUGCGGUGCAUUAGCUAGUUGGUGGGGUAAUGGCCCACCAAGGCGACGAUGCAUAGCCGACCUGAGAGGGUGCUCGGCCACACUGGGACUGAGACACGGCCCAGACUCCUACGGGAGGCAGCAGUAGGGAAUCUUCCACAAUGGACGAAAGUCUGAUGGAGCAACGCCGCGUGAACGAUGAAGGCCUUCGGGUCGUAAAGUUCUGUUGUAGGGGAAGAACAAGUGCCGCAGGCAAUGGCGGCACCUUGACGGUACCUUGCGAGAAAGCCACGGCUAACUACGUGCCAGCAGCCGCCGUAA
rnacentral:rRNA from 1 species